UCGAGCGGAACGAGUUAUCUGAACCUUCGGGGAACGAUAACGGCGUCGAGCGGCGGACGGGUGAGUAAUGCCUAGGAAAUUGCCCUGAUGUGGGGGAUAACCAUUGGAAACGAUGGCUAAUACCGCAUAAUACCUACGGGUCAAAGAGGGGGACCUUCGGGCCUCUCGCGUCAGGAUAUGCCUAGGUGGGAUUAGCUAGUUGGUGAGGUAAUGGCUCACCAAGGCGACGAUCCCUAGCUGGUCUGAGAGGAUGAUCAGCCACACUGGAACUGAGACACGGUCCAGACUCCUACGGGAGGCAGCAGUGGGGAAUAUUGCACAAUGGGCGCAAGCCUGAUGCAGCCAUGCCGCGUGUGUGAAGAAGGCCUUCGGGUUGUAAAGCACUUUCAGUCGUGAGGAAGGUAGUGUAGUUAAUAGCUGCAUUAUUUGACGUUAGCGACAGAAGAAGCACCGGCUAACUCCGUGCCAGCAGCCGCGGUAAUACGGAGGGUGCGAGCGUUAAUCGGAAUUACUGGCGUAAAGCGCAUGCAGGUGGUUUGUUAAGUCAGAUGUGAAAGCCCGGGGCUCAACCUCGGAAUAGCAUUUGAAACUGGCAGACUAGAGUACUGUAGAGGGGGGUAGAAUUUCAGGUGUAGCGGUGAAAUGCGUAGAGAUCUGAAGGAAUACCGGUGGCG
rnacentral:rRNA from 1 species